GUCAAGUGAAUAAGUGCAUCAGGUGGAUGCCUUGGCGAUGAUAGGCGAAGAAGGACGUGUAAGCCUGCGAAAAGCGUGGGGGAGCUGGCAAUAGAGCAGAGAUCCCGCGAUAUCCGAAUGGGGAAACCCACCAUGUAUAAGCAUGGUAUCCUGUACUGAAUACAUAGGUGCAGAGAAGCGAACCUGGAGAACUGAACCAUCUAAGUACCCAGAGGAAAAGAAAUCAACCGAGAUUGCGCAAGUAGUGGCGAGCGAACGCGUAAGAGCCUGUAUAUGAUAGCCAUUGAGAUAGAAGAACAAGCUGGGAAGCUUGGCCAAAGAGGGUGAAAGCCCCGUAUUCGAAAUUUCAAAGGUGGUACUAAGUAUACGUGAAGUAGGGCGGGACACGAGAAAUCCUGUCUGAAGAUGGGGGGACCAUCCUCCAAGGCUAAAUACUCAUCAUCGACCGAUAGUGAACCAGUACCGUGAGGGAAAGGCGAAAAGAACCCCGGGAGGGGAGUGAAAUAGAACCUGAAACCUGAUGCAUACAAACAGUGGGAGCGGAGUAAUCCGUGACUGCGUACCUUUUGUAUAAUGGGUCAACGACUUACAUUCAGUAGCGAGCUUAACCGAUUAGGGGAGGCGAAGGGAAACCGAGUCUUAAUAGGGCGAAUAGUUGCUGGGUGUAGACCCGAAACCGAGUGAUCUAUCCAUGGCCAGGUUGAAGGUGCCGUAACAGGUACUGGAGGACCGAACCCACGCAUGUUGCAAAAUGCGGGGAUGAGCUGUGGAUAGGGGUGAAAGGCUAAACAAACUCGGAGAUAGCUGGUUCUCCCCGAAAACUAUUUAGGUAGUGCCUCGAGCAAGACACUGAUGGGGGUAAAGCACUGUUAUGGCUAGGGGGNNNNNNNNNNCAUUGCGACUUACCAACCCAUGGCAAACUAAGAAUACCAUCAAGUGGUUCCUCGGGAGACAGACAUCGGGUGCUAACGUCCGGUGUCAAGAGGGAAACAACCCAGACCGCCAGCUAAGGUCCCAAAUGACAGAUUAAGUGGUAAACGAAGUGGGAAGGCAGAGACAGCCAGGAUGUUGGCUUAGAAGCAGCCAUCAUUUAAAGAAAGCGUAAUAGCUCACUGGUCGAGUCGUCCUGCGCGGAAGAUGUAACGGGGCUCAAAUCUGUAACCGAAGCUGCGGAUGUCAGGCAACUGGCAUGGUAGGGGAGCGUUCUGUAGGCCGAAGAAGGUGUGUUGAGAAGCAUGCUGGAGGNNNNNNNNNNAUCAGAAGUGCGAAUGUUGACAUGAGUAGCGAUAAACAGGGUGAAAAGCCCUGUCGCCGAAAACCCAAGGUUUCCUACGCAACGUUCAUCGGCGUAGGGUGAGUCGGCCCCUAAGGCAAGGCAGAGAUGCGUAGUCGAUGGGAAACAGGUUAAUAUUCCUGUACUUGAUUCAAAUGCGAUGUGGGGACGAAGAAGGUUAGGUCAUCGAUCUGUUGGAAAAGAUCGUUUAAGCCGGUAGGUGGAGCACUUAGGCAAAUCCGGGUGCUUAACACCGAGAAGUGAUGACGAGUGUCUAAGGACACGAAGUGACUGAUACCACGCUUCCAGGAAAAGCCACUAAGCUUCAGUUUGAAUGAAACCGUACCGCAAACCGACACAGGUGGGUAGGAUGAGAAUUCUAAGGCGCUUGAGAGAACUCAGGAGAAGGAACUCGGCAAAUUGAUACCGUAACUUCGGGAGAAGGUAUGCCUCUGACGGUGAAGGAAAUACUCCGUAAGCUGUUAGAGGUCGCAGAGAAUAGGUGGCUGCGACUGUUUAAUAAAAACACAGCACUCUGCAAACACGAAAGUGGACGUAUAGGGUGUGACGCCUGCCCGGUGCUGGAAGGUUAAUUGAAGAUGUGCAAGCAUUGGAUCGAAGCCCCAGUAAACGGCGGCCGUAACUAUAACGGUCCUAAGGUAGCGAAAUUCCUUGUCGGGUAAGUUCCGACCCGCACGAAUGGCGUAACGAUGGCCACACUGUCUCCUCCUGAGACUCAGCGAAGUUGAAAUGGUUGUGAAGAUGCAAUCUCCCCGCUGCUAGACGGAAAGACCCCGUGAACCUUUACUGUAGCUUUGCAUUGGACUUUGAAGUCACUUGUGUAGGAUAGGUGGGAGGCUAAGAAGCAGACACGCUAGUGACUGUGGAGCCAUCCUUGAAAUACCACCCUGGUGACUUUGAGGUUCUAACCCGGAUCCAUGAACUGGAUCGGGGACCGUGCAUGGUAGGCAGUUUGACUGGGGCGGUCUCCUCCCAAAGAGUAACGGAGGAGUUCGAAGGUUACCUAGGUCCGGUCGGAAAUCGGACUGAUAGUACAAUGGCACAAGGUAGCUUAACUGCGAGACCGACAAGUCGAGCAGGUGCGAAAGCAGGACAUAGUGAUCCGGUGGUUCUGAAUGGAAGGGCCAUCGCUCAACGGAUAAAAGGUACUCCGGGGAUAACAGGCUGAUUCCGCCCAAGAGUUCAUAUCGACGGCGGAGUUUGGCACCUCGAUGUCGGCUCAUCACAUCCUGGGGCUGUAGUCGGUCCCAAGGGUAUGGCUGUUCGCCAUUUAAAGUGGUACGUGAGCUGGGUUUAAAACGUCGUGAGACAGUUUGGUCCCUAUCUGCAGUGGGCGUUGGAAGUUUGACGGGGGCUGCUCCUAGUACGAGAGGACCGGAGUGGACGAACCUCUGGUGUACCGGUUGUGACGCCAGUCGCAUCGCCGGGUAGCUAAGUUUGGAAGAGAUAAACGCUGAAAGCAUCUAAGCGUGAAACUCGCCUGAAGAUGAGACUUCCCUAGGGAUAUAAUCCCUCUAAAGAGACGUUCGAGACCAGGACGUUGAUAGGUCGGGUGUGGAAGAGUGGUAACACUUGCAGCUAACCGAUACUAAUUGCUCGUGAGGCUUGACUCU
rnacentral:rRNA from 1 species